UACUGCAAGUCGAGCGGACAGAAGGGAGCUUGCUCCCGGAUGUUAGCGGCGGACGGGUGAGUAACACGUGGGUAACCUGCCUGUAAGACUGGGAUAACUCCGGGAAACCGGAGCUAAUACCGGAUAGUUCCUUGAACCGCAUGGUUCAAGGAUGAAAGACGGUUUCGGCUGUCACUUACAGAUGGACCCGCGGCGCAUUAGCUAGUUGGUGAGGUAACGGCUCACCAAGGCGACGAUGCGUAGCCGACCUGAGAGGGUGAUCGGCCACACUGGGACUGAGACACGGCCCAGACUCCUACGGGAGGCAGCAGUAGGGAAUCUUCCGCAAUGGACGAAAGUCUGACGGAGCAACGCCGCGUGAGUGAUGAAGGUUUUCGGAUCGUAAAGCUCUGUUGUUAGGGAAGAACAAGUGCAAGAGUAACUGCUUGCACCUUGACGGUACCUAACCAGAAAGCCACGGCUAACUACGUGCCAGCAGCCGCGGUAAUACGUAGGUGGCAAGCGUUGUCCGGAAUUAUUGGGCGUAAAGGGCUCGCAGGCGGUUUCUUAAGUCUGAUGUGAAAGCCCCCGGCUCAACCGGGGAGGGUCAUUGGAAACUGGGAAACUUGAGUGCAGAAGAGGAGAGUGGAAUUCCACGUGUAGCGGUGAAAUGCGUAGAGAUGUGGAGGAACACCAGUGGCGAAGGCGACUCUCUGGUCUGUAACUGACGCUGAGGAGCGAAAGCGUGGGGAGCGAACAGGAUUAGAUACCCUGGUAGUCCACGCCGUAAACGAUGAGUGCUAAGUGUUAGGGGGUUUCCGCCCCUUAGUGCUGCAGCUAACGCAUUAAGCACUCCGCCUGGGGAGUACGGUCGCAAGACUGAAACUCAAAGGAAUUGACGGGGGCCCGCACAAGCGGUGGAGCAUGU
rnacentral:rRNA from 1 species